rnacentral:misc_RNA from 1 species
AAGUCGUAACAAGGUUUCCGUAGGUGAACCUGCGGAAGGAUCAAUACCGAGUUCUUGAAGUGGGUCUUUGAGCUGGCUUACAUGGCACUGUGCUCGGGCCCCGCUCCAUCCACUCAACCCCUGUGCACUUUCGAUUGUAGUGUGCGGAGGGGACCGUCUUAACGGGCGGUUCUCGUCGAUGCCAUUACAUUCGUCUUAUCACAAACUCUUGACAUGUAAUUGUAGAACGUUGAAGCCUUUACAGGCGGAAACUCAAAUACAACUUUCAACAACGGAUCUCUUGGCUCUC